GGAGUCCGUUGGAGAGAAUCUAAGUGCAGAGCUUGGGAUCCAUGGCAGUGCUUGGUGCGAUCCGAACCUCAGGUCUUAUUGACUUCAAAUCCACAAUUCCACACUAACUCUGACAUCAAUUUCCCAACUUUCCAAGACAGGCUACAUCUUCUAGAUGACUGAUCCCGUAUUCUCAAAACAUUUUCCCACUUCAGUCUUGAUUUGUGAUUCCAAUGGUGUAAGAAAUUCUCUCUUUGUUGGCAGCUAUUCCACAACUUUUAGCCUUUUAUGAAAGUGGUCUGGGAGACUGAGGAGUUAAUUGAUUAUUCAGUCACAUAGCCUUUAUGUAUCAGAGGUGACUUGAACUCAAGUCUUUCUAGCUCAAAGUCUAACUCUUUGGCCACUAUGCAAUGCUCUCUCACUUGGAAGUCAUUAAAAAAAUUGUACUCAGUGAU